rnacentral:rRNA from 1 species
ACGAGUGGCGGACGGGUGAGUAACACGUGGGUAACCUGCCCUUAAGUGGGGGAUAACAUUUGGAAACAGAUGCUAAUACCGCAUAGAUCCAAGAACCGCAUGGUUCUUGGCUGAAAGAUGGCGUAAGCUAUCGCUUUUGGAUGGACCCGCGGCGUAUUAGCUAGUUGGUGAGGUAAUGGCUCACCAAGGCGAUGAUACGUAGCCGAACUGAGAGGUUGAUCGGCCACAUUGGGACUGAGACACGGCCCAAACUCCUACGGGAGGCAGCAGUAGGGAAUCUUCCACAAUGGACGCAAGUCUGAUGGAGCAACGCCGCGUGAGUGAAGAAGGCUUUCGGGUCGUAAAACUCUGUUGUUGGAGAAGAAUGGUCGGCAGAGUAACUGUUGUCGGCGUGACGGUAUCCAACCAGAAAGCCACGGCUAACUACGUGCCAGCAGCCGCGGUAAUACGUAGGUGGCAAGCGUUAUCCGGAUUUAUUGGGCGUAAAGCGAGCGCAGGCGGUUUUUUAAGUCUGAUGUGAAAGCCCUCGGCUUAACCGAGGAAGCGCAUCGGAAACUGGGAAACUUGAGUGCAGAAGAGGACCAGUGGAACUCCAUGUGUAGCGGUGAAAUGCGUAGAUAUAUGGAAGAACACCAGUGGCGAAGGCGGCUGUCUGGUCUGUAACUGACGCUGAGGCUCGAAAGCAUGGGUAGCGAACAGGAUUAGAUACCCUGGUAGUCCAUGCCGUAAACGAUGAAUGCUAGGUGUUGGAGGGUUUCCGCCCUUCAGUGCCGCCGCAGCUAACGCAUUAAGCAUUCCGCCUGGGGAGUACGACCGCAAGGUUGAAACUCAAAGGAAUUGACGGGGGCCCGCACAAGCGGUGGAGCAUGUGGUUUAAUUCGAAGCAACGCGAAGAACCUUACCAGGUCUUGACAUCUUUUGAUCACCUGAGAGAUCAGGUUUCCCCUUCGGGGGCAAAAUGACAGGUGGUGCAUGGUUGUCGUCAGCUCGUGUCGUGAGAUGUUGGGUUAAGUCCCGCAACGAGCGCAACCCUUAUGACUAGUUGCCAGCAUUUAGUUGGGCACUCUAGUAAGACUGCCGGUGACAAACCGGAGGAAGGUGGGGAUGACGUCAAAUCAUCAUGCCCCUUAUGACCUGGGCUACACACGUGCUACAAUGGAUGGUACAACGAGUUGCGAGACCGCGAGGUCAAGCUAAUCUCUUAAAGCCAUUCUCAGUUCGGACUGUAGGCUGCAACUCGCCUACACGAAGUCGGAAUCGCUAGUAAUCGCGGAUCAGCACGCCGCGGUGAAUACGUUCCCGGGCCUUGUACACACCGCCCGUCACACCAUGAGAGUUUGUAACACCCGAAGCCGGUGGCGUAACCCUUUUAGGGAGCGAGCCGUCUAAGGUGGGACAAAUG